AAUUAUCUACGUUUGGUAUCUUUGACCGAGGUGAGACAGAGAUACCGGAAAGUCAAUGAAGAAAAGAAAAGUGAAGACGGCGAUUUCCGGCGAUAAAAAUUUGUAGGGAAGUUGUUCCGGGGAGGAUGUCGAGGAGACGGCGUGGGAAGGCGAAGGCCGACGGUGAGUGUUUGGUGGAUCUAUAAUCGAGAAUGAAUCUAAGUUUUAUUUUUGGAUUUUGGCAGAAACGGCGAAGGUUGAGGGUGUUAAAGAAGGACUACUGGAAAGGUUAUUUGCGACGAACCAAUUUCCGGUGAGAGAUACACAUUCUAUUACAUCUGCCUCAUCUUCUCUUCUUCCUCCGUCGCUGGUGAAUAUUAUUGAAGAAUGACAUGUGUCAUCUCUAGUUCGUCAUAAGAUAUUAGGUCAUUGUUGUAUAUGUAUAUUACUGUAUUUAGUUGUACACCUGAAAAGUAUCAUAUUUGUUGUACACGUGUACACCAGUCUUGGUCAAUUUUAUUGUACUCGUGUACACUUUAAAAACUAUUUUUGACUAUGGUUAGUUAAUCUUAUGUAAACACUAUGC
rnacentral:lncRNA from 1 species